rnacentral:rRNA from 1 species
AGAGUUGAUCAUGGCUCAGGACGAACGCUGGCGGCACGCCUAACACAUGCAAGUCGAACGGUGAUUGGAAGCUUGCUUCUAAAUCAUAGUGGCGGACGGGUGAGUAACACGUGAGCAACCUGCCUCUGAGAGAGGGAUAGCUUCUGGAAACGGAUGGUAAUACCUCAUAACGUAGUUUAGCCGCAUGACUGAACUACCAAAGAUUUAUCACUCAGAGAUGGGCUCGCGUCUGAUUAGCUAGUUGGUGAGGUAACGGCUCACCAAGGCGACGAUCAGUAGCCGGACUGAGAGGUUGAACGGCCACAUUGGGACUGAGACACGGCCCAGACUCCUACGGGAGGCAGCAGUGAGGGAUAUUGCACAAUGGAGGAAACUCUGAAUGCAGCGAUGCCGCGUGGAGGAAGAAGGUUUUCGGAUUGUAAACUCCUGUUUCGAGGGACGAUAAUGACGGUACCUCGGGAGGAAGCUCCGGCUAACUACGUGCCAGCAGCUGC